rnacentral:rRNA from 1 species
AGUGAACGCUGGCGGUAGGCCUAACACAUGCCAGUCGAACGGCAGCACAGUAAGAGCUUGCUCUUACGGGUGGCGAGUGGCGGACGGGUGAGGAAUACAUCGGAACCUACUUUUUCGUGGGGGAUAACGUAGGGAAACUUACGCUAAUACCGCAUACGACCUACGGGUGAAAGCAGGGGAUCUUCGGACCUUGCGCGAUUGAAUGAGCCGAUGUCGGAUUAGCUAGUUGGCGGGGUAAAGGCCCACCAAGGCGACGAUCCGUAGCUGGUCUGAGAGGAUGAUCAGCCACACUGGAACUGAGACACGGUCCAGACUCCUACGGGAGGCAGCAGUGGGGAAUAUUGGACAAUGGGCGCAAGCCUGAUCCAGCCAUACCGCGUGGGUGAAGAAGGCCUUCGGGUUGUAAAGCCCUUUUGUUGGGAAAGAAAAGCAGCAGGUUAAUACCCCGCUGUUCUGACGGUACCCAAAGAAUAAGCACCGGCUAACUUCGUG